UUAGGGUUGGAGUUAGGGUUAGUGUUGGAGCUAGGGUUAGGGUUGGGCUUGGAGCUAGGAUUUUUCUGAGUGCACUGAACCAACUCCCGAGUCUCUAGGACAUUCCUAAAAAAAAUUGAUUUUUUCCCAUAGGAAUGCAUGGGUUAGGGUUAGGGUUAGGGUUAGGGUUGGAGCUAGGGUUAGGGUUAGGGUUAGGGUUGGAGUUAGGGUUAGUGUUGGAGCUAGGGUUAGGGUUGGGCUUGGAGCUAGGAUUUUUCUGAGUGCACUGAACCAACUCCCGAGUCUCUAGGA